rnacentral:rRNA from 1 species
AGAUUGAACGCUGGCGGCAUGCCUAACACAUGCAAGUCGAACGGGAGUAGCAAUACUCUAGUGGCGGACGGGUGAGGAAUACGUAGGAAUUUGCCCUUAAGUGGGGGAUAACCCGGGGAACCCGGAUUAAUACCGCAUGACCUCGAAAGAGCAAAGUGGGGGAUCGCAAGACCUCACGCUUUUGGAGAAGCCUACGUCGGAUUAGCUAGUUGGUGAGGUAAUGGCUCACCAAGGCGACGAUCCGUAACUGGUCUGAGAGGAUGAUCAGUCACACCGGAACUGAGACACGGUCCGGACUCCUACGGGAGGCAGCAGUGGGAAUAUUGACAAUGGGCG